UACGAAGGGGGCUAGCGUUGUUCGGAGUUACUGGGCGUAAAGCGCACGUAGGCGGAUACUUAAGUUAGGGGUGAAAUCCCAGGGCUCAACCCUGGAACUGCCUUUAAUACUGGGUAUCUUGAGUUCGAGAGAGGUGAGUGGAAUUCCGAGUGUAGAGGUGAAAUUCGUAGAUAUUCGGAGGAACACCAGUGGCGAAGGCGGCUCACUGGCUCGAUACUGACGCUGAGGUGCGAAAGCGUGGGGAGCAAACAGG
rnacentral:rRNA from 1 species